AUAGCGUAGGCCGACGCUAGCUAAUGUAUCGAGCUUCGCCGUCACAGGAGCCCGUCAGGUCUAGCGCGGACGCCGACCAUACAAGCGCAGGAUGACGCCGCCCACAAUACGUAGCUCGGCCUCCUCCGCCCCUCAAGAUCUUUGAGCUUGGGUGCUCGAUCCGUCGACAACGAAGGCCAACGUGGGUCUGCUAGCGAAGGACAACAGUGAUUUGUCCCUCUCGCCCUCUUCGACAUGGUGUCCUACCUCCACUCGCUCGCCUCUAGCCCCUUCCUCGACCAGGUCCCCUUCCAUCCCUCCUCCCCGAUCACCAUCCCUCAGAUUUGUGAGAUUCGUCCUCACGUGCUCGGUUCUGCGUUGGUUUGGGGGCAGGAAGGGAUCCGCGAGGGGGGGGGGGCUGCAGCGCUGGGAUGAGAUGGUGAGUAAGCUCGGCCUCUUCUCCUCCAACGAGACUAAGGAAGACGUCUCCAACGCAACCUCAACUACUCGUGCCAUACUACCUUGGUGAGAUGACUGGACAAGUGGAGCAGGAGGACCGAAUUCCGGUUCUCAAGGCAUCGCAAGAUCAUCUGAAGGUUCACUGUCACGUUACAUGGUCUCACACUUAUGAUGUAUUUUUAGAUGUUUUCUGGUUUCUUAUCAGAUUACUCAAACUCUGGAGUACUCAAUUAGCAUGAUUUGUUGUUGGCUACUGUUUGUUCUACUCUAAAAGGGAACUGAAACUAAGUGUGUUGUUGGUUCGGGCUAAGUGGGAUGUCUUAGAUUAACUUGUGAAUGUCCAUCUUUUUACUGAUUGUGUUAGCAUCAAGUGUGGUGUUGGUCCAGGCUAAGUGUUGCGUUGCUCUGAACCUACUGCUGCUCCCUGAUUGCAUAAUUUAGCAUGUGUAGCAUAAUGUGGUACUAUUUGGAGUAGAAUUUCCGAAUUUUUGAUAAGUGGAGUUUGAGAAAACUCUACAAUGAUGGGAGUGGCUUAGCAGCAGACACUUUACUCCAUAAAUCUGUAGGAGUAGAAAAUUUAGAAAUGAUAAGUAACGUUUGACUGCAUGCAACUCCAUAUUUUUGUGACAACAGUAGGAGUAUUAUGUGUCAAAACUGAUAUUGUGUUGUUGUUAACAAGAGUAAAAUUAUUGAUGAUAUUUCAGAGACUGAUAUUUAUGCGAAGAUCCAGCUGUCAUCACCUCCCCCCACGACUAUCUACGUCUCAGGGCCAUGGAGGCCCGACGCCCUCCACAAACCGCGAGAAAGAGCAGCAGUACGGAGGCAAUCUGGUCAUGGAGGCCGAGAUCGAUCCAACCCUCCCCUCCACCUCCUCUCUAUCCCUCUAAUCUGCGAUUUGCCAUGCAUUCUGAUUGUGGAUAUGGAAGAAUUUAGGUCACUAGAUGUAGACGAAUUGAAGCAUGCCUUCUGGAUAUGGAAGAUGGAAUUCAAGCUGGUUUCGGUUAUUGGACGAGAUCUGAGGUCAUCCACGUUAACUGUUACUAAUUGAUGCAAAAAAAUUCAAGUUACUCCACACGGCCGCCACCUGCAGAGCAUGAGAGGCACUAAAGGGUGGUCUUGGUAGUCCUUGACACAUGCUUACGGGUUUGCAAAUAUGCUCACAGACAUUGCGAAGGCUGCAAGGUGGCUGAGUGCUUUGAAUCUGUGUUUACGUAUUUAGCCAUGGCGUUUAUGUCACAUGUAUGACAUAUGCAUAUUCAGACAACGUAUUUUACCUAUCCCUUUCUCUAUUUCUCUAUAGGACAUAUAUUUGUGGUGGUUGAUUGCUGCUGUCAGAGCAUGGA